AAUGGCUAAGAUGGCCGAAAGAGAUUUUGACAGUGGACAGAAAGUUCAUUCAUACGAAGAAUGGUUGGAAAUUGCAACACAGUCGCAAAUGGAAGUUGCCAUGAAACUGGUUUUAAGUCAUGGAAAAAGGAGUUCCCGUGGACAUAAAUAUAUGUUACUGUUGGACACAUCAGAGAGUAUGCAAGGAGAAAAAUUCGAUACAAUGAUAAAAACUGCAACAAACUUUAUCGACGGUCUACAUCAGAUCAGUUUAAGAUACGGUAUACGAGAUAAUGUCGGACUAGCUCAUUUUGGGGAAGACACUGAAUUGAUCAUGCAUCCUCUGGCAGAUUAUGAUGAUAUAAAAAAAGAAAUAGCCAAGUUGCAUCCUGGUGGUCCGUCCCCACUAGCAGCUGGUCUGUUGAUGGCUUUAUCUGGAAUUACUCACUGUGGCCCUACUACCAUAGAAAACCAUAAUUUCCUACCGUAUAUUAUUGUGAUCACGGAUGGAAUGGCAACUCGUGUAGAUGCCCCUGGUGAAGAUGACAGAGACAGUAUUGGUGCGCUAUCAGUAUCGUCUUUACUGACUAUGUUGAAUUUAGAGAUGGAUAUGGAAAUAGAUAAAACUAUUACAAAUAUUGCUCUUAGAGGAAUGAAAAUAUUUUGUGUACCAAUUGGAGGUGCGAACACUGACAUUAUGAGUAAGGUUGCAAAUAAGACUUCUGGGAAGUUGAUUCCACCCGAUCAGAUUCAGCGUCUCUCUCAAAAUACACAGAUUCUGAUCCAUGCAUCAAGAAUAGCAAAUCAAUUAGAGAAACAUUCUGAGUUAACUAAAACCUCUGUAAAAGCAGCUGUUCGUUCUGCUACUCUACAGGAACUAGAUGCAUAUGAUGAUAUCACGGAUAAUGUUAUGUUGUUACUGGAUCCUGUAACGCAGUAUCAUGGUCGAUUCAAACAACCGAAAUGUCAAGCUGUCAAGUUAGGAACACGUGUUCGACGAGGACCAAAUUGGCAAUGGAAAAAUCAAGAUUCGAACAUGGCUGGUACCGUUAUUGGUGAAGAUAAAGAUGGAAUGAUAUGGGUUGAAUGGGACAGUGGUCUCAAGAAUUGUUAUAAUUAUGAUGAAAGCAUCAAAUGUUAUGAUAUUAAACCUGUAAAUGAACCUAGGCGAUUAGUAGAUGAGAUGAUUGCUGUUGGAUGCAAGGUUAAAAGAGGUAAAGAUUGGAAGUAUGGUGAACAGGAUGGUGGUAGAGGUAGCCAAGGAACUAUUCUGCGUGUUGAAUCAAACGGAAAAGUUGUAGUUCAUUGGGAUCGAGGAAGACUUGGAACCUACAAGUUUGCAUGUGAUGAUUUGUUUGAAGUGGCAGUCUGCGAGGAUGGUCUUACAAUAAGUUCACAGAAUUUAAUAGAGGAUGAGCAGAAUAGCCAACCGGAGGUGAUGUCCGAUUUACCACUUAUACUACCUUCCCAUAAAAAUAAAAUGAAGCCAGUUAAAUAUACCUGGCAGUACCAAAAUGCUAGUGGUAACUGGGAGUCGUAUGGUGAAGAAACUAAUGUUAAGGUAGACCGUGCUUACAGCAGAAAACCAAACGGUAAAUGUAUCGUGGAAAUUAACAAAACAGUGCAUGUUGUACUGUUUUCAAAAAUGAUCCAAGAAAACCAAACAGACCAUAGCUCAGUUCCUGUCCAGCGAUUAGAUAAAACAACCGAUCUUACAGAGUCGAAACAAUGAAAUGACAUCCAAUUUUGACAAUAUGAGGUAUGAAGACUAAAAGGAUCAGGCUGACAGACUCUUAGAUGUAUAUCGUUUUUAUGAUGGUUAAAUUCUAUUUGACAAAGAACACGAUUAACUUCUUUUAAUUACUUAAGUACAAAUAUUCAUUCUGUAAAGUGCUAUUUUAGAGAGAAAAAAGACUUAAAAGACAUUGUGUAUGUUAAAAAAUAACCUGUUGAUAUAUGUGAAAACAAUACCUUUCCAUGGGAUAUCAUGUCCCGCUCUAACUACCACAGUUAUAUGGUCAUGCUGGGUCUUCCAAGUGCUCCACGAAACCUCUUUCUAAAAUAUUAACAUCUAUUUUAUCAGCAAUCAAAGCCGGGCUCCAAAGUUAUUGUGAAACUGCCUAUUCUAGAGGUGGCGUGAAUCAGAUGUAGAUACUAAAAAGAUCUUUUAGAGUACAUACAAUCUAAGACUCUCUCUUCUUGCAAUAGUAUUAAAACAUUUGACUUUUCUACACUUUACACAAGUAUUCCCCAUUCCAAACUAAAAGACAAAUUGAAAGAGUUGGUAUUACUUUGUUUCAUUAAAAAGAAUGGCGAACGUAGAUACAAGUAUCUUGUCUUGGGGAGGGAUAAAUCCUACUUUGUAAAGAAUCACUCUGAUUCAAACAAAAAAUUCUCUGAAACUGACAUUAUCAAGAUGCUUGAUUUCUUGAUUGACAACAUAUUUGUUACGUUUGGAGGACGUGUUUUUCAACAAACUGUCGGAAUUCCAAUGGGAACCAAUUGUGCCCCUCUUAUUGCCGACUUGUUUCUUUAUUAUUAUGAGGCUGACUUCAUACAGGAACCUCUUAGGAAGAAAGAUAAGAAGUUAGCAAUAUCCUUUAACUCUACGUUCCGCUAUAUAGAUGAUGUUCUCUCACUAAAUAAUACAAAAUUUGGUGACUAUGUUGAACGAAUCUAUCCCAUCGAACUAGAGAUAAAGGAUACUACAGAUACAGUUAAGUCUGCCUCAUAUCUUGACUUAAAUCUAGAAAUUGACAAUGAGGGUCGGUUGAAAACAAAACUUUACGACAAAAGAGAUGAUUUCAGCUUCCCAAAUGUGAACUUUCCAUUUCUAUGUAGCAACAUUCGAGCAGCGCCUGCAUACGGAGUAUAUAUCUCCCAAUUGAUACGAUAUUCCCGGGCUUGUGUUUCCUAUCAUGAUAUCCUUGAUAGAGGAUUGCUGCUCACAAGGAAGCUAUUAAACCAAGAGUUCCAAAUGGUGAAGUUGAAGUCAUCCCUUCGUAAAUUUUACGGACGCCAUCACGAGUUGGUUGACCGUUAUGGAAUAACCGUUUCACAGAUGAUAUCGGAUAUGUUCCUUAUGUCGUAACUACAAUACCCUUCCUUUUCACGAAUGUGACUUACCGAAUAAGACUAUUUACCGGAUUUGUAAUAACAUAAGCAACACGACGGGUGCCACAUGUGGAGCAGGAUCUGCUUAUCCUUCCGGAGCACCUGAGAUCACCCCCAGUUUUUGGUGGGGUUCGUGUUGCUUAGUCUUUGGUUUUCUAUGUUGUGUAAUCUGUACUAUUAUUUGUCUGUUUGUCUUUUUAUUUUUGGCCAUGGCGUUGUCAGUUUGUUUUCGAUCUAUGAGUUUGACUGUCCCUCUGGUAUCUUUCGUUCCUCUUUCAUAGAAUCGCGAAAUCGUUAAAAACCCUAAUUUUGGCAAAUGCACAUCAUGAUGUCAAGAUCAAGUUUAUGUGACCACAACUUCGUGGUUAACUAACUUAAACAAAAACUUUAACCUGAUACGGGACGGACUAAUGGACUAACGGACCUAGACUAAAAAAUUAUAAAAGAAUAAAUAAUAAAUGAUAGAGAAUUUAUUUUUGAACUAAAUGUUAUUCAUAAGUGUAUGAAUAUAUCCUGUAGGUUUAUUUAAAUGCAUUGUAUACAUUCUUUUAAAAUUUUGAAAAAAUUGUUUUUAGAAAAGAUAAAUGUUCAUUGUUUUUUUUCUUUGAAAAAAUGAAUUACGAAAAAUAUUGGAAAAUACAGUAUACAGACCAUUCAUUGCAAUACCCAACUCAUUCGACGUAGACGUACAAAGACUAAGAACAACGAACAACAGAUCGUCCACAUAGCCUCAUUUGGUACAGACACAAUAUGUGGUUUGGUUAAAUCAGUUUUACGUACGCAUAAACCUACCACUUUGCCUAUCUAAACUGUAUGUAAUAUAAAUUAAACACCAUAGAAACCGGGCACACUUCAGCUAUAUCAUUUUUUUUAAACUGAUCUUAAUUUUUAAUUUGCAUUAGGACAGUCUAUUUGAAGAAGUAUGUGAUAAGGAUGAUUGCCGUUAUUAAUAUUAUUAUUGGUUACACCUGUUCGUGUCACAAAACUGUAAUACAAAAAAACUGAGUGUAUGAUGAGUGAAAGUGACAAUGAUGACAAUGUGUAAUUUAAUUGCAAUUGUAUAUUUUCAAACAUCUGUGAUAUAUAAAGAAUUUUGUGAUAAAAAUAUUAAUUUCAAUUAAUAUGUCUCACUAGUUUUCUAUGUUGUGAACUGUUGUUUGUCUGUUUGUCUGUUGGGUUUUUUUUAGCCAUGAAGUUGUCAGUUUAUUUUUGACUUGAGAGUUUGAAUAUCACUUUGGUAUCUUUCGCCUCUCUUUUGUAAAUCUAAGUUGAAUAGGUUUUUUGAAAAGGCACAGAAAAAAAAUUAGACAGAAAAGAUAAUAGAUCAUAAUAGAUAAUUAAAUGAUAAAAAUUACAAAACAACCAAAAAGGGAGACUGUAAACAUAUACAUUAAAGCAUGGUAUGGAACGAAAACUAUUCUGUUUCAUUCGGUGCGUGCUUUAUUUGCAUUUGUUACACAAACCUUUAAAUAGCCUUUUGUUACAUUUAUAUGCAUGUUGCUAAAUCAUGAAGGAAAAUAUUGAAAGAAAAUUCAAUGAGCUGUUUACGCUCUUUUGUACUCAGUUUACGUCAAUGACAUGGAAAUUGAAAUGUUAAAUCAAGGUUGUCAACUUUAUGAAUUAAGAAAGCUUAAUUUGUAUUUGAUUAUGUAUGCUGAUGAUACAGUUUUGAUCAGUGAAACUAUUGCUUAUUUACAAAAAAAAUAUUGAUGUUGUUAGCGCUUAGUCAAAUGAAUAUGACUUACAUGUAAAUAUUGCAAAACACAAAAGUUGUAAAAGAGAUAGAAGGAUUAGUAAAGCCAAUGAGAGGUGAUCUUUAACUGGGGAACGAAUAGACUCAUGGGAUCAAAUUUGUAUAUCUUGAUUUAUUGUUCAGAUAUGCCGGUUCUUUAGUUCAAACUAAAAAAAUGUUAGCAAAUCAAGCAAAAAAGGUAGUAUUUAGUCUCUUUAGUAAAACAUAUGAUGUUUUUUAAUCACAAAACUUUGGUUUCUUUAUUUAACAAAUAUCUAUCUUGUAUCCUCAAUUAUGGUUGUGCGGUUUGAGGACACUACAAAGUAGACCUUGUUGAAAAGGUGAUUUAAGCAUCUUAAAACGUAUUCUUAAAGCAAAGGAUUCAACUGUUAACUAUAUAGUAUUUUGUGAAUUAGGAAGAUUCCCUAUAUUUUUCAAUAGAUAUUGUAGAAUGCUGAAAUAUUGGUUCAAACUAUUAUGUACUCAUAUCUGUAUUUUAAAGUGUUGUUAUGAAGAAAUAUUAUAAAGGUCUAUUGUUAAAUAUAAUGAAAAGUACAACUGGGCAUGUAAAAUUAGAUAUAUUUUUUAACAAUGUGGAAAUUAUUAUGUAUGGUAUUACCAAGGUGUUGAUAAUACUGAAUUAUUUCUACACGAAUUCAGAGAAAGCGUGAGGAAUAAUUUUGCUACUGAAAUGAAUGCUUUUUUUUAAAAAUCAUCGAAAUGUUAUUUUUAUAGAUUUAUUUAUUAUCAUAUGGGUUGCAAUUAUAUUAAGGACGCACUGUGAAUUAUAUAUACAUAUCGUUUCUUCGGAAAUGCCUGUACCAAAUCGGGAAUAUGGCAGUUAUUUUUCACUUGUUCCGUAGAUUGAUAAACGUUUGAUUUUGUCAGUUUUCAUGGACUUCCCCUUUUGGAAUUUGCCUUGGAUUUCGGUAUUUUUGUUAUACUUUUUUUAUCUUCUCAAAGCUUAACUGUAGAAAACGGUAGAUAUUAUAACACUGAUAGACAAAUGCGUUUAUGUCAGAUGUGUGAUUUAAUUGAAGACGAGUAUUUUAUUUUAGUUUGUGAAAAAAUAUGCCAGUUUAAGAAAAAUUUAUAUUAAAUUAAAUUGAGAAUGGAAAUGGGGAAUGUGUCAAAGAGACAACAACCCGACCAUAGAACAGACAACAGCAGAAGGUCGCCAACAGGUCUUCAAUGCAGCGAGAAAUUCCCGCACCCGGAGGUGUCCUUCAGCUGGCCCCUAAACAAAUAUAUAUACUAGUUCAGUGAUAAUGAACGCCAUACUAAACUCCAAAUUGUACACAAGAAACUAAAAUUAAAAAUAAUACAAGACUAACAAAGGCUAGAGGCUCCUGACUUGGGACAGGCGCAAAAAUGCGGCGAGGUUAAACAUGUUUAUGAGAUCUCAACCCUCCCCCUAUACCUCUAGCCAAUGUAGAAAAGUAAACGCAUAACAAUACGCACAUUAAAAUUCAGUUCAAGAGAAGUCCGAGUCUGAUGUCAGAAGAUGUAACCAAAGAAAAUAAACAAAAUGACAAUAAUACAUAAAUAACAACAGACUACUAGCAGUUAACUGACAUGCCAGCUCCAGACUUCAAUUAAACUGAUUGAAAGAUUAUGUCUUCAUCAUAUGAAUAUCAGGCACAAUCCUUCCCGUUAGGGGUUUAGUAUCAUACCAUCAUAACAUAUAUGAGAAGAACAUAACCCGUGUCAUGCCAACAACUGGUUUUUAAAUAAUUGUGUUUAGUGCCGAUGCAAAGACCCUAUAAGUGAAUCAAUAUUAACGCCAAAAUAUGCAAUCUUUAAUAACCUGACAACAGUAUCGUAACUAUAUCCCUUCUUAAUAAGUCUAUUUAAAGGUUUUAUUAGCUUCAGAGGUGAAUACUGACAUUUUUGUGCUUUAUAAAGAAUAUUUCCAUAAAAAAUUGGAUGUGAAAUACCUGAACGUAUAAGAAGUCUGCAUGUUGAGCUAUAUUUACGAAUGAUGUCCUUAUACCGAUGAUAAAAUUUAGUAAAUGUUUUGACUAGUUUGUGAUAUCGAAAACCCUGGUGUAAUAAUUUUUCAGUAAUACAUAAAUUUCUCUCGUUAAAAUCUAAAACAUUGUUACAUACACGAGCGAAUCGUACAAGUUGAGAUAUAUAAACACCGUAAGAUGGUGACAAGGGAACGUCACCAUCUAAAAAUGGAUAAUUAACGAUAGGAAAUGAAAAAUCAUCUCUUUUGUCAUAUAUUUUAGUAUUAAGCUUUCCAUUAAUGAUAUAGAUAUCAAGAUCGAGGAAAGGGCAGUGGUCAUUGUUAGUAUUAGCUUUAUUUAAAGUAAGUUCAACAGGAUAAAUUUCUUUAGUAUACAUACUGAAGUCGUCAUUAUUGAGAGCCAAAAUAUCAUCCAAAUAUCUAAAAGUAUUAUUAAAUUUGUGUAUCAGAUGUUGUUUCGAUGGGUCUUUGCUGAUUUUUGUCAUAAAUUGUAACUCAUAGCAAUACAAAAAAAGGUCCGCAAUAAGUGGUGCACAGUUAGUCCCCAUUGGAAUUCCGAUAACCUGACGAUAUACGGAAUCUCCAAAGCGAACAAAAAUGUUAUCUAGUAAAAAUUCAAGGGCAUAUAUAGUAUCAAGGCAUGUCCAAUUGACAUCGUUUUUUUGUUUAUUGCUACUAAAAAAUGACCUAAAAGAGUUUGAACAUAUAUAUUCACAUUCUGACUUUAUAAAUGCCCAUUUAAUUAGGUGUGUGAAUUUUUUCUUAAUGAGAAUGUGAGGCAAUGUGGUAUAUAGGGUAGAAAAAUCACCAAUAAAACAUGUUAUUAGAGAAGACCAUCCAGUUUCAAACUUGUAUAACUAUUGUCUGCAUAUGUCUAUACUGUCAAAUAAUUGAUUAAUUUAAGAAAAUAUUUAUAUCUUGAUGAAAAGAUUCGUAAUUGUUGACUGUAUUGUAUAUUCUCUGCCGUUGUGAUUUCAAAUUGUUUGUACAUUAAUUAUUGGCUGGACACUAAUGCUAUUGUACUGUGAAUAUUUGUUAAAUGUAUAUAUUCUAUGAGCUAUUACAAAUAAUGUUAAUAUCUUUAUUAAAAAAUCAAUAAGGUUGAA